rnacentral:rRNA from 1 species
AUGCAGUCGAGCGGACAGAAGGGAGCUUGCUCCCGGAUGUUAGCGGCGGACGGGUGAGUAACACGUGGGUAACCUGCCUGUAAGACUGGGAUAACUCCGGGAAACCGGAGCUAAUACCGGAUAGUUCCUUGAACCGCAUGGUUCAAGGAUGAAAGACGGUUUCGGCUGUCACUUACAGAUGGACCCGCGGCGCAUUAGCUAGUUGGUGAGGUAACGGCUCACCAAGGCGACGAUGCGUAGCCGACCUGAGAGGGUGAUCGGCCACACUGGGACUGAGACACGGCCCAGACUCCUACGGGAGGCAGCAGUAGGGAAUCUUCCGCAAUGGACGAAAGUCUGACGGAGCAACGCCGCGUGAGUGAUGAAGGUUUUCGGAUCGUAAAGCUCUGUUGUUAGGGAAGAACAAGUGCAAGAGUAACUGCUUGCACCUUGACGGUACCUAACCAGAAAGCCACGGCUAACUACGUGCCAGCAGCCGCGGUAAUACGUAGGUGGCAAGCGUUGUCCGGAAUUAUUGGGCGUAAAGGGCUCGCAGGCGGUUUCUUAAGUCUGAUGUGAAAGCCCCCGGCUCAACCGGGGAGGGUCAUUGGAAACUGGGAAACUUGAGUGCAGAAUGGAGAGUGGGAAUUCCCGUGUAGCGGUGAAUUGCGUAAAGAUGUGGAGGAACUCCAGGGGGUGAAA